rnacentral:rRNA from 1 species
UGCCAGCAGCCGCGGUAAUACGGAGGGGGUUAGCGUUGUUCGGAAUUACUGGGCGUAAAGCGCACGUAGGCGGAUUAGAAAGUUAGAGGUGAAAUCCUACAGCUCAACUGUAGAGCUGCCUUUGAUACUGGAAAACUUGAGUUAUUGUGAAGUGGUUAGAAUGUGUGGUGUAGCGGUGAAAUGCAUAGAUAUCACACAGAAUACCGAUUGCGAAGGCAGAUCACUAACAAUAUACUGACGCUCAUGGACGAAAGCGUGGGGAGCGAACAGGAUUAGAUA